CCUACGUGUGGCAGCAGUGAGGAAUAUUGGUCAAUGGCCGAGAGUCUGAACCAGCCAAGUCGCGUGAAGGAUGACUGCCCUAUGGGUUGUAAACUUCUUUUAUAUGGGAAUAAAAUGUUCCACGUGUGGAAUUUUGUAUGUACCCUAUGAAUAAGUAUCGGCUAACUCCGUGCCAGCAGCCGCGGUAAUACGGAGGAUGCGAGCGUUAUCCGGAUUUAUUGGGUUUAAAGGGAGCGUAGGUUGAUUGUUAAGUCAGUGGUGAAAGUUUGCGGCUCAACCGUAAAAUUGCAGUUGAAACUGGAAGUCUUGAGUACAGUAGAGGUGGGCGGAAUGCGUGGUGUAGCGGUGAAAUGCUUAGAUAUCACGCAGAACUCCGAUUGCGAAGGCAGCUUACUGGACCGUAACUGACACUGAGGCGCGAAAGUGUGGGUAUCAAACAGGAUUAGAUACCCUUGUAGUC
rnacentral:rRNA from 1 species